CCCAGAGAGCUGCAUUCUUUUGAUACUCCAACACAGAGAACAAAUGUAUGUUUUGCUUUUGGAAAAAGGCCAAUGACGUUGCCUAAUCUCAGUCGGCAGCAAUAAAAAAAACUGAGAAAAAAAAUCGUGAGUUCAAAUAAGAGAAAUGCUUUGGGUCUCCUCGAGUCUGCAUUUUUGCCAACAAAGACCACAGCUAAGGAAUGUUUUUGUAAAUUCUCGUUUAACCGGAUACUCACACAUUUGGACCGUGUGGCACUUUAUAUUUUCGCAAGUUGUAGACAUAGUAGUAAGCGCUCAAACAUGUGGUGUGGUCUUCGGAUUUUUGGUCAAAUAUACAGACGAAGUGUUGGUCGCUCAGUCUGUCGGUCGUCUAAUGUCUAUGGCUUUUUUACGGUCAUCAACAUUACACAGCAACGGAUGUACGUAGUACAUACACGUAUAAGAGUGUGACUGAAUAAACGGAAAGAGACAGACAGUCAUCUGCCGUAUAGAGGAACCUCUUCGUCACUUCUUGGCGUAUACUCCCUGCCGAAUGGCCUUAAGUUGCUGUGAAUAAGUGGCCGGCCAAAGUUAUAGUGGAUGGAUGCAUCAUCAAACAUACAAGACAUUCAUGUGUGCAGUAACAAAAAAGACAAUGUACAUUGGUGUCUUGUGUGAUGUACAACAAACAAAUAACAGCUGCAGUAGCAGACAAAUUUUACUGCAGCCCGCCCAGCUUAUUUGGAGCCUUUCAACUGACAGUACUCACCGAGCACAGACGAAGUCCAUCAACUACACUUGCUUUCUAAGAAUUAUCAAUGUAUACACAAGAAAGUGUGGAAACAAAAAACUGUACCUCCACAUAAAUUUUUCAAAUUAACACCUGUUACCUCUGAGUGUACGAUACCUUGAAGCAAGCGUACACAAUUAAGACGAUGACGGCAAAGUAAAAUUUCGGUGGAAAGUUUCCAAAACCGAUGCCUCCUCCCAAAUACCUACAUAUCUGUGUUCAUUCACAAUCAUUUUCAUUUAUUCAUCGAUAAAAAAUAUGAAUCAUUUAGAUGUUCGUGGGAAACACAAACUCAUACUAAUGUAAACAUAAACAUUAGACGGUCUGUCCCAAAGUUUUUUUAAGUUUUCCCAUACGAUAAAACAAUAAAUGCUACCAAAUGUUCAAAACGUAUUCUAAUCAA